UAGCACUAUAGGUAUGAUUUAAAUAUAGGGGAAUAUGCUCUUUCUGUCUUUCUCCGUAAACAGGACUAUCUGCAGAAUCUAUACAUAAAGUAAGUGGGGAGUUCAUGGCAAGCUUCUGCGGGGGAAGGGAGAAGAGGACCAGCACUGUGGUUAAAAAACUGCCGGAGCCGACUGUGUUUGUCCGGAGCUUCUGGGUGAAUCAGGUUCCAAUCUUGACAUCUGGACAAAUCCAUAAAAAGAUCUUCAUGGGUUUUUCACCACCAGAUAUAACUCAGGGCUGCUCUAAAAGGAACUUCGAAGAAAUUGAGAAAAACAGAAAGAGCAGUAUAUUAAUUUUAAGGAGAUGAAAGCAGUACAUGUCGUUCCUAAAUUUCAUGGAAAAUGCAC
rnacentral:lncRNA from 1 species